rnacentral:misc_RNA from 1 species
GAAAUGCGAUAAGUAAUGUGAAUUGCAGAAUUCAGUGAAUCAUCGAAUCUUUGAACGCACCUUGCGCUCCUUGGUAUUCCUUGGAGAAUGCCUGUUUGAGUAUCAUGAAAUCUUCAAAGUAAAUCUUUUGUUAACUCAAUUGGUUUCUACUUUGGUAUUGGAGGUCUUUGCAGCUUCACACCUGCUCCUCUUUGUUCAUUAGCUGGAUCUCAGUGUUAUGCUUGGUUCCACUCGGCGUGAUAAGUUAUCUAUCGCUGAGGACACUGUAAAAGGUGGCCAAGGUAAAUGCAGAUGAACCGCUUCUAAUAGUCCAUUGACUUGGACAAUACUUUUAUGAUCUGAUCUCAAAUCAGGUAGGACUACCCGCUGAACUUAAGC